rnacentral:other from 1 species
CGCUAUCAUCAUUAUUUUCAUUAUUACCUUCAUUAUCCGUAUGAUAAUUUUUGUAGUUACAACCGGCCUCUGGCCGGUUUUUUUA